GACGAACGCUGGCGGCGUGCUUAACACAUGCAAGUCGAACGGAAAGGCCCUGCUUUUGUGGGGCGCUCGAGUGGCGAACGGGUGAGUAACACGUGAGUAACCUGCCCUUGACUUUGGGAUAACUUCAGGAAACUGGGGCUAAUACCGGAUAGGAGCUCCUGCUGCAUGGUGGGGGUUGGAAAGUUUCGGCGGUUGGGGAUGGACUCGCGGCUUAUCAGCUUGUUGGUGGGGUAGUGGCUUACCAAGGCUUUGACGGGUAGCCGGCCUGAGAGGGUGACCGGCCACAUUGGGACUGAGAUACGGCCCAGACUCCUACGGGAGGCAGCAGUGGGGAAUAUGGCACAAUGGGCGGAAGCCUGAUGCAGCAACGCCGCGUGCGGGAUGACGGCCUUCGGGUUGUAAACCGCUUUCGCCUGUGACGAAGCGUGAGUGACGGUAAUGGGUAAAGAAGCACCGGCUAACUACGUG
rnacentral:rRNA from 1 species